UACGGAGGGGGCUAGCGUUGUUCGGAAUUACUGGGCGUAAAGGGCGCGUAGGCGGACCUUCAAGUCAGGGGUGAAAGGCCUGGGCUCAACCCGGGAACUGCAUUUGAAACUGAGGGGCUAGAGUUCGAGAGAGGAUAGCGGAAUGCCCAGUGUAGAGGUGAAAUUCGUAGAUAUUGGGAAGAACACCGGUGGCGAAGGCGGCUAUCUGGCUCGGUACUGACGCUGAUGCGCGAAAUCUUGUUGAGCAAACAGU
rnacentral:rRNA from 1 species